UACGGAGGGGGCUAGCGUUGUUCGGAAUUACUGGGCGUAAAGCGCACGUAGGCGGACUGGAAAGUUGGGGGUGAAAUCCCAGGGCUCAACCUUGGAACUGCCUUUGAAACUAUCGGUCUGGAGUUCGAGAGAGGUGAGUGGAAUUCCGAGUGUAGAGGUGAAAUUCGUAGAUAUUCGGAGGAACACCAGUGGCGAAGGCGGCUCACUGGCUCGAUACUGACGCUCAGGCACGAAAGCGUGGGUAGCGAAGGGG
rnacentral:misc_RNA from 1 species